rnacentral:lncRNA from 1 species
UUUGAGGUCUUUAUCAUAUGUCAAUUCUGUUUUAGGCUUGUGCUAAGUUGAUGUAGCAUUUGGUGUCUCAUUUGAGCUUGUUUUGACUGCCUUGACUUGAUGAAUUUGAUUACCAUGCUUAAUCAUGUCCAAAUGCCUUGAUUUUUUGUGUAAUGAUCAUGUUUUGUGUUCUGUUUAGCCAUGAUUUUUCUUGAGAUUAAUUGAAUCAUUUUGGAAUUAAUGUGCAUUUGUU